CCGACGGUGAGAGGCGAAAGCUGGGGGAGCAAACCGGAUUAGAUACCCGGGUAGUCCCAGCUGUAAACGAUGCGCGUUAGGUGUGUCAGUGACCACGUGUCACUGAUGUGCCGAAGGGAAACCGUGAAACGCGCCGCCUGGGGAGUACGGUCGCAAGGCUGAAACUUAAAGGAAUUGGCGGGGGAGCAACACAACGGGUGGAGCCUGCGGUUUAAUCGGACUCAACGCCGGAAAUCUCACCGGAUAA
rnacentral:rRNA from 1 species